UGAGGAAUAUUGGUCAAUGGACGCAAGUCUGAACCAGCCACAUCGCGUGAAGGAUGACUGCCCUACGGGUUGUAAACUUCUUUUAUAAGGGAAUAAAAAAGACUACGUGUAGUUUAUUGCAUGUACCUUAUGAAUAAGCAUCGGCUAACUCCGUGCCAGCAGCCGCGGUAAUACGGAGGAUGCGAGCGUUAUCCGGAUUUAUUGGGUUUAAAGGGUGCGCAGGCGGAUUUUUAAGUCAGCGGUGAAAUCUUGAGGCUCAACCUCAAACCUGCCGUUGAAACUGUUAAUCUUGAGUAUGGAUGAAGUAGGCGGAAUUCGUUGUGUAGCGGUGAAAUGCUUAGAUAUAACGAGGAACCCCGAUUGCGUAGGCAGCUUACUAAACCAUAACUGACGCUCAUGCACGAAAGUGUGGGUAUCCAACA
rnacentral:rRNA from 1 species